CCAUUGCUAUGGAGUAAAUAUUCAUAUUCAUUGUUAUUAAGAUUGGAGUUUCUACUGAAUUUGCAUGGCAGAUUGUCUCACUGUUGGCGUCCAGAUAUAUCAAAGUGGUCUGUAUUUUUUGUGUUGACUGUGCAAGAUAUGUGCUACUUUGCGUAGACGGGACUGGUGGUGGGCAGUCGCAUUGCAUCUGUUCGGACUGUUGCAAUCCAUACUCCAUAUAGACAAAAUACUGUAGAGGUCGUAGCAAGCUGCAGCGAACAUGCUCUUUCUAACUGUAUUCUGUUAUGUUCUGAAAAUCAUACUACCUCUGCAAGUAAUGUAAUUAAUCUGGGGC
rnacentral:lncRNA from 1 species